rnacentral:lncRNA from 1 species
AUAAGUCCUCAGUAGUUUAUCUCAGCAGUCAGCUCCGGCCUACGCAUCCUCUACGUAGGGGACCGAUGCAAAUAAGUGAAUGAUCUAGCAAAACAAAAAAAUAAAAGAAAGUAAAAAGGCAACUCCGGUAUAGGUGACCCUCACAAAGUCAUUUAAACCAAAGAAUUGUAAAAAUUUGCUACAAAAAGAAAAAGAAAAAGAAAAAAGAAGAAGAAAAACUUA